rnacentral:lncRNA from 1 species
GCGGGGGCGCUCGAGAGCCCCGUACAGAAUUCCGAGGUCAAAGGGCGCUGAGGGGCAUUAGAUCGCAGCUCGGGGGAGGUGGGGUUCCUCCCUUGUCUUUUCUCUGAGCUGGAUAGAAAGGUUCUAGACUCCAUCCAGGGUCCACGCCAUCCUCACCCCAGCCACUGCUCUUCUCCACCACUCAGCACGACUGGCCGGCUGGGCUCCCUGGGCUGUGGGAGGGAACUGGGCUAUAAGAGACUUGGAGGCGCCCUCGGUACCGUUUCCCCUUCCGAGAGCCAGAUCCUCAGGCCAAGACUUUCCCUUGAGCUUUGCGCGGCUUCAGAGCAUCACCUCCCAAGAUAGGUACCAAGUCAAUUACGGGCACUCUGCCAUUAUGCUCUUCCUCGGCCACCAUCCCCAUCCGGCCCCAGAGCUCUGACCCUCCUGGGCCUCCACCCAUCUUCAACACGCUGCAGAUUCAGGACUGGGGAAGGAAGUCGGAUGGACCUGUGCUGGGAUUUAACAAACUCUUUGGGGACCUUGAUUCUCAGGAAAGAAUGGCAGUGACCCAACAUGGAUUAGGGACCCGGUCGGGAAAUUCUACAAACAUAAAGAUCACUAGCUUGUGUGAACCUGUCUAUCAGGCUGGGACAGGAUACGAGGGGGGAAGAAUCAAGUUGCCACCGAGUGCUCUAUCAAUAAAGAUGCUGUCUCAAAAUUGGUCUGUUUGUUUUCCACUGACCCUAUGGCUGAAGACAUCCUUGACUUGCAUCUGAAUACUUUCUAGUUAUCCAAUGUUACAUCAUCAGGUUAACAGAUAUGGAGAUCUCCACCAGGAUUUGGAGAAUAGUUGUCAAUGGCACUGAAGUUCUGGACUAGGUUUGUUACGAAAGCUAACAAUGUGGACUUCCCAGGAUACCCCCCAUUGUCACAUUAUAUCCAUAGCUGUAAUCAUCCUUCUGGCUAUGUAUGUUCACCUCUCCGAGAAUGGUUAGAAGAAAAGAGCCUGCACUACUCCACAGACUCAAGUUCCCAUAGCCACCCUCAGCCUUCAUCAGCUCAAAGCUGGUAUACAGAAGUAGUGACCACUGGGACCUCUCAGCUUCCAACCAGCUACAUCAGACUGAAUCUUCGACUGAAAAGAAAGACAAACAUGUCAACAAAAAAGUGAAAGGAGUAGAGGGAGAAGAAGUUGGUGAUGACAACAACAAAGAUAACGACAGACACUUUAAAGCUUGGGAGAGAGCUCUUAAAAAAACAAAAGAAAACAAACUGAAGUCUGAUGCCUUAAUCCUAUGCCUUUAAAUGCCACCAGAUGGCGCGCCCACAUUUUGCUUGUGGAUAGCUUAGGCCCACACCAAACAUUUGGUCUGUUUUUGAAGGAACCACCAGCAGCUUUCAUACUAGUUUUCUAUAACAGUUUCCUAAACAUUACUGCAACUUUUACUAACAAUUUCUUCAAACCCUUGUUACUCAUAAGCCUAAAUAUCAUAUAUUUUGUAAUUUUGGGGGGACAGCCAGCAUUUCUAGAUACCAACUUUUGUAGCAGUUACUUCCAAAUAUCCAAAAACACUUUGUUCGUGAUAAAAUGAACCAUAUAAUGUAUUCUCUGAAUAUUUUGAUAUUAACUGCCAAUUCUAAUCCUUUUAAAGCUUUUAUUUUUUUACAUAACAUUAUUUUACAUUCAUCAUUUCAAUGUUUUUGCAAUAAAAAGUAAGUUUAUAGCUUCA